CAUGAGGAAGAAUCAAGAAUUGAAGUCUACUAAGGAAACCAGUGACUUAAUCUCCUCACGUUGGCCUAAGUCUUGACACCUCAGGCUGAUCUAAACUGUUUCUAGCUUCUCCAAAGGGAGGUAUAUGUUUGCAUGUGUGUGGGUAUUGCAUAUGGGUGCAUGAGUGUAUGUAUGUAUGUUAUAUGCACGCCCAUGCAUACUGAUGUGUAUUUUUAUAUACUUUUGAGGCCAUUUUGAUAAGCUGGCAAUAUAUCUUACAUGAGGGGCAUUUUAAAACAAUAUAACUGAUGUGAACACUCAAAGGAAACCACAUAGUGUCAUACACCACAAUAUUUCCAGUUCCUGUAACAGUGUCAAAAAGAUAAUUGUUAAAUCAGAGUUAUUUGAAAACCUAAUAUGUUUACCUCAUGGUACAAGUGAAAAUCAGGGAGGACCUCAGAGGCAAGCUCUCAAACGGUGACAGGCAUGCCUCUCGGCCAUCCCCAGCCACGCAAUCAAAAUGGUAUCCAUACCUCUUGUGGAGCAAUGUGCUUGCAAGAUCCAAUUCUAUCUCCAUUUCUCUGUGAUAACCUCCCUCAUCCAAACACUUUUCUCUGGCCUCCCACCUCUCUACUUGAUAUGCCCUUCCUCAUCUGCCACAGCUCUGUUUCAAUGUCAUUUCCAAAUGAAGCCAUUCCUUCAGCUCAAUGACCACAGGUCUCUCCCGAUUUGCUGCCUCGGCAUCCUGGUAUGGAUUUUCAAAGCACACAUCACACUUAUAAUUAUGUGAGUGCUAUUUAAUGCGUAUCUUCAUGAUUAUAUAACCACUUCUUUGAAGGGAGAGAUUGUAUUCAUCUUACUCAACCAAGUCCACAGCACUCAACUUGAAACAGCCAUCAUUCCACAAGUGUUUGCUAGAUCAAUGCCUGGGUUAGCAAAAGUAAGAAGGGAGGAAACAUGAAGAAAGGGCGAGAGAGCAGGAGGGAAACAGAGCACUGGGGAGGAUGGGUCAGGAAUCCCUCUGGGAAUGGAGAUCAAUGGCUAAGGUUGCUUGCAGUUCACAACUGCCUGUAACUCUAGCUCCUGAGCAUCCAACAUCCUCUUCUAGCCUCCUCAACAUUGCGCACACACACACACACACACACACACAUCUUU
rnacentral:lncRNA from 1 species